ensembl:lncRNA
GUAAUUCUACCUUGAUAAUCACUGAAGUGAUGUGCUGAGAAAUGUUCUACUUCUUGUCAUACAAGAAUCCUGUAUAAAGAAACCUAUUUCUGAUAUUGAGCAGAAAACAGAGGUUAUUUUUUAUUUUUAGAGCGUGUCAAUACAAGAGAUGUGUAGAGAAAUCAAAGGAAUAUUGUUCUAGAACUGAACUGUGACGCUCCUUCCAGGGGGUUGAUAGAAAAUGUACAUGUCUGUAAAUCAAAUAAACCUAUUUAAUCACUUCAUACCACCGCGUUGUCUCUUGUUUCUGCUCACUCUCUCCUGCAUUCAUAACAUCCUAAUCAAUCACCCGCAGGGUCUUCAACUAACAACAUGACUAGGCCUUAAAUUGAGGUAUAUGCUACUGUAUUAUCUCUGAAAUGACUUCAUGUAAGUUCCUGAACUACAAACCAGACACUGCUGGAUUUCCACCUCAUGGAUCAUUUCAGAGUAUGAAUGUGUCAAUGCUCAUAUUCUGUAGAAUUAGUGUUGCUUCUACCUUAAACAUUUUUUUGUUGUUUUUCUCAGAGCCCGGUUUCAGUAACAAGUUUUUACAAAUUGUACGUAUAGUUUAAGUUCAGCGCGGAGCAUGUAUCAUCCGCAACAUGGUUACAUUCACCUACAUUGCCUCAAGCAGUUUGGGCAUUUAGUCAUUUUAAUUGUCCAUUUGCUCUGAAAACCAUAAUGUUGACCUUUGUAAAAAAAAUGAAGUACGUUAGAACUUAUGAAUAUGUUUUAGGAUCUUCUAAAAGACUAACUAAUUCAUCUAUUGUUCUAUUCAUACACUUGUUCGGUGGAGUUCGGUGAGUCAGGGGGGGAAAAAAAUGUAAUAUUUACCUUCACGGGAAGCGAGGAAGUCCGCCGCUGAAGGCCCUCGUUGUGCUGACGUUCAUUAAAAAAGGCGGAGCUGCCUAACGUGGCAGCUAAUGGCACUAAUGGACUUGGUCUAUGACAGGGCUGCAGAAACACAAUGAGUACGCAUGCACUGCUUUUGUCGUAGAGGAAGCGUGGAGAUGUUGACUGAGAGGCCUUUAAUUAGGCAGGGCCACUAUUUUAAACGGAUCAUUGUAUCCGACGUGCCCUCCGUUUGAAGAGGGCUAGAUUACAUAGGAGCCAGAGGAAGAAUUGGUAUUUGGUGGGCGGAUGACCAGGAGAAACCUAUACCCUUUCCCACAGUCACACCAAUAUGUACCCCAAAGUCAAAGUCAACACACCUAGUCAUGCAGUAUACAGGAAACAGCGGGGCGUCGGCAGGAAAAGGGGAGCCAUUCUAGCGAGCACUGGAAUUUCCAUUUGCGUUUUGCCACAUAAGGACGGACUUUGUACACGACGCAGGCUUAAAUCCAGGCUGACAAACAGCCACCAGUGGAUGAAAAAUGUCAGCUGGGAUUUUAAAAACAGCUUUGUUAAGGCCAUCCAUUUUUUAUAUGUGACUUCAGUAGGGAUUGCAGCGGCAUGUCGUUUUCAAAAUGUACUUGUGAAGAAUGAAGUCAAAGAAAUAAAGGUCGGGGUUAAACAGGAGAUGUGGUGAUUCUUCUGUCUGUGGAAAAACCCGUCAUUAGCAGUAUCACAUCUCCACUGUGAAUAUCUCACCUUCUCUCUGUUGACACCCACUGACUUUUCCAAGCUGCUUCAUACCGUAGAAUCCCAGCAGCUAAAGCCAGCGUGGCAGGAACAUUACGAAAGUCUCACCUGGUGCGCGGUUUGUCAUGUUCCCAGUCUCCUUCCAUGUGAAAUAGUUUAAACUGUUUGUGAAGGCGAGAUCCCGAAUCUGUUUUCCAUCUAUUACACCAACAGUUUUAGUAGCAAUUAAGGAUGACAUUGUUUUUAGUUUACACAGUCCACGGGUUCUUGACAAUACGAAAAGAUGAAUAAAACAUUGAUGGAAUGAGCAAAGACUACGGCCCACGCUGCUUUGUGCGAAGACAAACAUGCAAACCGACGAGCUUAAGUCUCCUAAUGGCCCCCAGCACAUAUUUCUUGUUACCAACACAAGUGAACAAGAGGGAUUAAAAGGAGGAACAGAGAACAACAAUUCACUCUCCGGGCUCUUAAUGCAAUUGAGAGGAAAAGGCAGAAAUAGCUGCUUCAUUAGAGGUUCGCUUGAGGCGGGGACAUGCUCAAGUUUUCAAACACUGUCAUUAUAAGAAGACAGGAUGAAGAUCAAACAGCCCAGUGACCUUCACGAUACUCUGAUGCCUUCCAAAUACUUACUUAAGAAAUAGUUGGAAAUGGCAUAUGCAAAGAGCAUUUAUACAAUAUUGUAUUUCAUAGUAAAGUAUACAGUGUGCAGUACAUCAAUAAACUUAGUCAUAUUUCAUUUAAAUCUACGUGAAAUUGCACAUGAAGACAGGAAUAUCUUUCCUCACAUUAAGUGUUAAUAUGUCUUAUUUCAAUGCAGAGGCUGCUGGGGAAAAACACAAAAAUAUAUCAAAAACUGCUACCAAAAAUGUUUGUGUUUUUUUCUACCUCACUGAGUCAAGAUAUCUAAACAGAGAUAUUCCUGGUGAGUUUUUUUAACUGUACUUUUUGGGGAGGUGAAAGUGACAAGUGACUCUUGAGGUACGCAAAAUACAAUCUUUGUCACAACAAAACAAUUAACAAAGAAAAUACCGAUUGAACAUGAUUACUUAUCUAAAGGAUGUGGAGUCUUUAACUUAUGUACAGCAUUUGGAAAGGAAACUAGAACAGUUACAAUAAUAUACAGCCAAUACAUCUGGAGAAAAUGAAAUGAAUCCACAUUUCAUGUAGAGACAAGGUGCGACAAUUGUUGCUAACAUCCUUUCCCAUUGUUGAGCAUCACUUCCCUUCUUACUAGUGUGAAUGGCCGGCCGGCCCUCAGGACCCAACUGAGCCUCAGCUGUCAGGCUCUGCAUUAACGCGAGGCUCUGCGUGUGUAUUAAAGACGCCGACACAUGUUCCAGAGGAAACGUGAGAUGUCGGCCUCCGCCUCCUCUUUAGUGUCUGCCCGUGUGGAAUGAAUAAAACGUGUGCUUUAUGGUGGGCUGAGCAAUGUCAAUGAAGCAACCGAACGAUUCAAGAGGACGUGAAUGGUAAUAGUCGGGCCUGCUGCAGUCGCCCCCCAGCUACUUACAAUGAUCACUCAUCGUCUUCGGGCCUCCAAGCAGUGGCUUCACUUCAAACUGUGCCAGUGAGGUCCUCAAUGCGACGAGGGAUUAAUUUGAUUUGCAUGCUCACUAAUGAGGAUGUAAUGUAAAUUGACAGUGGAAUAGUGUGACCGCGACUGCGCUUGUUAUGUGCCGCAGUGGGUUCAGUGUCACGGGUGCAGCAAGUGUGAGCGAUGAAUUGCAGAGUUUUCUGAAUUAACCAUGAGCUGCUUCUGCUCGACUUGGCGUAGAGUGAAUGAUGUUAUUUGGCUUUCGUUGCUGUUUUUAGCUCGCAUGGUUCCAUAUUUAGAACUUCUGUUUCCACUGCAGCAUGAACUGAUUCAGAAAUACUUACCAAAGGGCUAUUUAUGCAUGCGCUCGUGUGCAUCCACAGUAGCAUCUGUAUGCAUGUGUCCCGCAUGUCAAGGUCGGGAAGAAGCUCUGUGAAUGACGUGCGUGCAUCGUCUAGGCUAAGGCAAGGAACGGCAACAGCUCUGUGUGAGCGGAGGCAGAGGAGCACGCAUGUCUGAAUUCACACAUGACAAAUAGCAGGUUACACAGAUGUGUGCAACCGAGGAGGCCCUAAAUAAACUGAUGCACACUAACAGAUCAGGCAACUCACUCGGCUUCAGGAGCAAACAGGAUCCACUCUUCUAGAUCUUUGCAUCAUUAUAAAGAUAAAGAUAUUAGUUCAGGAUGUUCCAUUAUUUUGUGCCGUUUCGCUUUCCUCGUCAAUUACAUGCUCUCCAACUUGGCUGAAUCAGUUAUGCUCUAAUACUGUGCAGCAUAGUGGAUGAUAGGGGCUCAGGUGGUGGAGGAAAUCACAAGGUUCCGUGUUAGAUCCUCGACUACUUGAGGUGUCCUCGAGCGAGACAAUGCACCUGUAACCUCAGCCCAUUACAUGGCAGCUUCUGCCAUCUUUAUACGGAUGGGUAAAUGUAGACACGUACUGUAGAGCACAGUGAGAAGGUCAGUAGACAAGAAGACGGCCCCCUCUACUUUAAACACCGUCCCAUCAGCUUCAUGAACUACAGUGUGAUUACAGAUGAAUUCACCAACCACAUCUUUGUCUUUGGAAAUCAGUCCACAAAAAACUAAAAUUUGUUUAUAUAUAUAUUUAUAAAACACUAACGUAACCUUUACUGAUAUCGGAUGUUAUGCAGACUUUACUAUGGACAAACUCUUUCCACACUGUUCUCUUCUUUCACCCUCCUUUCCUUUGACACAACCAGAGAGAGGCGGGCAGGAAGCGGUUGAGCAAUGAAUGGAUGCCAUUUAGGGAGCUCUCCAAAACUAGUGAUAAAUGGGGUUGAUAGAUUAGUCAUGAUGGUAGGUGAUCUUCUCAUCAGUCCAACCACAGACGUUUUGUAUUUUUUCAUUUGUGCUGCAAAAUGCUCAAAAGUCAAAAUGAUUUUGGAUCAAAGUAGAAUGCCAAGUAGAUGUGUGUGGCUGAAAGGGCACUGAAGUAAUUUCAGCCCUUACUCACUUCAUGUAUGUGCAUGAGUACAUUUUGUCAUCAUAUUUCUAUUUUUUUCAAACAUCAAAAAAUGUACGCAUUCACCGCCAUAUGUGAAAGCUCAUAUGCACUUCCAUUGACCUCAUCCUCUUAUUCUACCACAGGAAUCUCCUGUGCGGCGCUUUCACAUAUGGCAAGGAGAGAGUGGAAGAAGAUUUAUUUUUUCUAUGGAGCCUCAGGAAAUGGUCUUAAAUUCAAUCAAUUUAUGAGGACCACCGACCAAAUAGUGCUUGAAUCCUAAAAUCCUAUUUAAGGAAGAUGACAUCAAAAAAGAAGAUAUUGUAUUAAUAAUCAUAGAAUAAAAAGAUUGGAGACAGUAUGCUUGGUACCAGAUGGAUACAAAGUAUUCUUAUAUUAAGUGUCCAUUCCAGGAUUGUUAUGUUGAAAGUUAUCUCGACUUUCUGCUCCUGGCCUCCUUCUGAAAUUCCACAAGCAGCUAUCAAUCACACACCCAGAAUGCAUCUGUGAAAACACUGUCUCCAAUUAGAUCACCCCCCCCAAAAAAAAGAAUCUUAACUUGACCACCAUGAAUCAAAUUCGUUGGCUCUUCAGUGUGCACGGCAAUGCAAGCCAAUUCUGAAGAAGGACUUUUGUCAUUUGAAACAUACUGUAUUUAGAUUACAACACAAUACAGUGAUAUGUUCCUGUAAUCCUCACUUCACAUACUUUAGAUGUGUGAUUGAUACUGUUUUGAGUUGGUGAGUAUUGAGGAUAAACAAAAAGGGCCCUAGUUUCAAAUGUGUUUUAGCAACUCAAAAUAUAUUGAAAUGGUCCUGUAGUGAAAUCAGCUUCCCAUGUUUCUUUUCAGCAGGGAGCAUCAUAAUGUAAUUCAUUUUGGUUAUUAAUGAAUUAAUUACAUUUAAAGUAAAGGCUUACAUGGUGGCUUCAAAGGCAACGUUGUGUUUUUUGCUUCAACAUCCAAAUGAACAAAAGCUGCAAUAAGAUGAGACGACAACCAAAAUAAAAAUUACCAUCGGUAUUUCGGCUCUUAUUGUCACCGUUAAGAGAUGAGAUGGAUGGGGUAAUGUGAUCUAGCGAGGCCUGACUGUGGCGCAGAAAGGUCAGCAGGCGAAAUGCCACAACAUGUUAGCGUGCUGUGUAGCCUUGCAGCCUGUGGACAGCGGUGUGAAGACAAAGAGCAGGAACCAAUCCAAAAAAAAACCUUCUCACACCCCCAGAGGGCCUGAGGCUGAGCUGAAUAUGAUCUGUAAACAAUGCUUUGGGUUCACAGCGACAUAGUGGAGAGACAGAAAUGAGUGCAUGUCCCUUUAAAACAGACACUAGUGCAAUACUGCUCAGAGGAACUGGUGUUCGGCGGGAUUCUGGGUGUGCUCUCCACAUUCAGACUUCACACGUUUUAACACUGCAUCAAGUGGAAGUGUAUGGGAGUCGCAGUCACAAAAUGGGUUCAAUCAAAGAGAGAGAAGCAGCACACAAAACCCUGUUUUGCAUAGAGACAACUAGGCCCAGUUCCUCUCGGUUUUAAGGUGGUAGGCAGGUAAGGCGGGAAGGAAAUCCACGAACUCUCCCAAACAGCACUAAACAUUAAAUACCAAUUUCCAGGUAGGAGACUGAGACUAUCUGCAGGUAAAAUUGAUUAAUCUGCCCUAAUUAGGUAUGAAAUUAAACACAGCUUCUUGGCAGAGGACUGUGGGUAAUAGGAUGUUGCUUUCCACGGUUGUUAUAUAAAAAGAAAUAUUGGAAUAACAAUACAAACAAGAUUGGGUUUUAAAGUAUCCAUUUAUCUAAAUGCAGAAAAAUCUGGGUGUGAGGAAGUCUGAACCACCGGGAGGGUGUGUGUGUGUGAGUGUGUCACAGCAGGGCAGCACCUACUACCGCCGACUGGGUGUGAGAUUGGUGUACGGACCAGCUGUAGUCAUUUACAGUAAAAGAGCACAGCCAUGCAGAGAAAAGCAGCUUUGAGGAACUAAAUGAUGCAAAAAAUGUCUUUGAGCUGUCAGAAAUGUCCUUUGACUGAAAAUUGUGUUCGGCCUUUUUUUUUUAAUCUCAUGGCAGUGUGUCCACAAGAGAUCUUUGGGCUCCACCUGGUGGAAACCACUUCAAACCGCUACCGCAAACUUCUAUCUUAGCUCAUUUUCCUAGGUCUGAAGUAGCCAAUGCAGUCAUAUUUUGCUAAAUUAUGACCUUUAUUGGAUUUCAGGUCAUUGAUAGUCAUUUUUAAAAUGUUAUAUAGAUAUGUA